CAAUCUGUCAUACAUGCAGCUUAACUUUAGUAACAAUUUUCUAAAAUUUUCCAAGCUUCAUGUUUAAAGAGCAAAAACUAUGCAAACAUAUAAAAGCCCGCUAAAAGAACGCAUUGCUUCAUCCAUUAGUUUAGAACAACCCUUGUAAUCUUCACUUGCAAAAUUUCCUGAAAACGAAGAUUCAUUGAAGCGCAUGAGAAAAAGUUUAUAACAAAUCAAAAGAGUCAAGUUAAAUUCAAUGCAUAUAUGGAUACUUAGGCCCUGUACAAUGCAGGUGCUUAGGAAGACGCUUAAAAAAACAAUUUUUUUCAAGAUCCUAGCACAGGUGCUUAAGAGGAGCAAAGUCUUGCUUCCGGUGCUAGUCGGUGCUUGACCUUCCAUAAAGUCAUAGUAAGCCUUGCUCUGGCUUAACUAAAGCAGUUUAAGCACCUAUAGGAAGCACUCACCAUUGCGGGGAAAAAAUAUUUGAAGAUGCCACGCUACUCUCGCUCUUUAACCACCGACCUAUAAGCACCGGCCACUGUACAAGGUCUUAGUGUUAGGACAGUAAGGAUGAAGUACUAAUAGUUAUCAUAAUCAAUAAUGGCAGCAUCAAUGGAAAAUAGAACGAGAAACUAAAAAGCAAUAAAGAAAAAAAUGGUUUAUAUGUUGAGUGGUGUAAGCUCAGCCAAUGAUCUGCAAGAACAUACAGGGGUUCUUAAUGUCUUGCAAACUCAGCUUUGACUUCAGGUAAAACUAGAGUGUAUACAUAAUCAUGAAAAUGUUACUCGAAUAGAGAAAUACCUUUAUAUGAUUUACCAUCACUGUUCUUCAUCGACCGAAGCAUUAUCAUUAGCAUCCACAACUGUUCCCUCAAUAUUGGAUCUUACC
rnacentral:lncRNA from 1 species